rnacentral:rRNA from 1 species
UACGAAGGGGGCUAGCGUUGUUCGGAUAUACUGGGCGUAAAGCGCACGUAGGCGGCGCCGUAAGUCAGGGGUGAAAUCCCGGAGCUCAACUCCGGAACUGCCUUUGAAACUGCGGUGCUAGAAUCCUGGAGAGGCGAGUGGAAUUCCGAGUGUAGAGGUGAAAUUCGUAGAUAUUCGGAAGAACACCAGUGGCGAAGGCGACUCGCUGGACAGGUAUUGACGCUGAGGUGCGAAAGCGUGGGGAGCAAACAGG